AAACUAAUUCAUCCUGUGAGCACACUCCGUCUCGCCUGCUCAUCCUGCAUCCUGCUCUUCUCCCAUCUCUCUCACACCAGCCUCCCCUCUGGUCUCCUUGGGUCUGAUGAUUCUCCGCCCACACGGUCAGGAACGCAGGCACGUAUCAACCUCCAGGUGAUGUUCCCUGUUAUCCCUCAGCACUGAUGAGGGAGGAAUGACUUCGUCCGUUCGUUAUUCAAGCGCUGUAAAAGUUUGACCCCGCACCGGAAGAGCAGCAACAAGACACCAGCAGCAAAGACGGUCACGUGGAAGGGCUUCCUCCGGGCUCCGAAUCCCAGGCCUCGUGUACAAGUAAUCAGCCUCAGCUCAUCACGGGUCCAUGUUCUCUGUGCACAUCCACCUCAGCCUCCCUGGAUUCGCCUUUUAAACAACUGUGGACUCCCCUGGGAGGGAUCAUCACGUUGUGGAGAGCUGUGCAGGGCCUGGAGUCAGACAGCCGGGGUGGAGCCCUGUCCACACCCUCACAUCUGUGUGGCCUUAUAAAGUCACUUCAUCUCUCUUAGCUUCAGUCUCCUCAUCUCUGAACUUGGAACCGUGAAAGCACACACCACCCAGAGCAGAUGAGAUGAGUCAGUAGAUGUACGGAGUCAGCACUGAGCCUGGAAGACAGGAAGCACUCAGUACGUUACCUCUCAUUAUUGUCACUUUUAUAAUUGCCAAACCUUUUAGCUUUAUAUGUUUCUUUGCUCCUUCAGGCGACAUUGUUCCCCAAGACGACGGCUGUGGUGGCUCCUGAUUAUUUACAAAGAUCUAACAUGACUGAUGUUUAGUCAGACCUGAAAGAAAGGGGGACAGACGGGG
rnacentral:lncRNA from 1 species